rnacentral:rRNA from 1 species
AGCAGCCGCGGUAAUUCCAGCUCCAAUAGCGUAUAUUAAAGUUGUUGCAGUUAAAAAGCUCGUAGUUGAGUUUCGGGGUCAGUAGGUUGGUCAUGCCACUGGUAUGUACUGGUCUCACUGAUUCCUCCUUCCUGAUGAACUGUAAUGCCAUUAAUUUGGUGUUGCAGGGAAUCUGGACUGUUACUUUGAAAAAUUAGAGUGUUUAAAGCAGGCUAACGCCUGAAUACAUUAGCAUGGAAUAAUGAAAUAGGACGUUCGAUCCUAUUUUGUUGGUUUCUAGGAUUGACGUAAUGAUUAAUAGGGAUAGUUGGGGGCAUUAGUAUUCAAUUGUCAGAGGUGAAAUUCUUGGAUUUAUUGAAGACUAACUACUGCGAAAGCAUUUGCCAAGGAUGUUUUCAU